rnacentral:lncRNA from 1 species
CUCGGCAGGAAAUUAACUCCAGCUGUAUAUGGUUUAUAUUCUCCAGGGACCCUGAGAUUCCAGUGAGCCUUGUAUUGCCACUGAAACCCUUGAGCCAAACCUGUUUUCCUCAUUGGAGCAGUGUCCACACCAGAGAGGGAUAUGAAGAGAGUGUGGAGCAAGAGAGGACUCUUGACAGCUGCAAGGUGAAGGAACCAGCAGAUUAGACUACAGGUGUGAGGAAGAGUACCCACGGCAGAGCUGCUGCAAGCACCUUAUAGACUCGUUUCUGUUCAAGAGAACAGUGCUGGGUUGCAGGGUUCCCAUUGUUUUGAUUUCUAG